AGAGUUUGAUCCUGGGUCAGAUUGAACGCUGGGGGACCAGUCAAGGCACAUGCAAGUCGAGCGGAUGACGGGAGCUUGCCCCCUUUGAUUCAGCGGCGGACGGUUGAGUAAUGCCUAGGAAUCUGCCUGGUAGUGGGGGACAACGUUUCGAAAGGUUCGCUAAUACCGCAUACGUCCUACGGGAGAAAGCAGGGGACCUUCGGGCCUUGCGCUAUCAGAUGAGCCUAGGUCGGAUUAGCUAGUUGGUGGGGUAAUGGCUCACCAAGGCGACGAUCCGUAACUGGUCUGAGAGGAUGAUCAGUCACACUGGAACUGAGACACGGUCCAGACUCCUACGGUAGGCAGCAGUGGGGAAUAUUGGACAAUGUGCGAAAGCCUGAUCCAGCCAUGUCGCGUGUGUGAAGAAGGUCUUCGGAUUGUAAAGCACUUUAAGUUGGGAGGAAGGGCAGUAAGUUAAUACCUUGCUGUUUUGACGUUACCGACAGAAUAAGCACCGGCUAACUCUGUGCCAGCAGCCGCGGUAAUACAGAGGGUGCAAGCGUUAAUCGGAAUUACUGGGCGUAAAGCGCGCGUAGGUGGUUCGUUAAGUUGGAUGUGAAAGCCCCGGGCUCAACCUGCGAACUGCAUCCAAUCUGGCGAGCUAGAGUACGUUAGAGCUUGGUGGAAUUUCCUGUGUAGCGUUGUAAUGCGUAGAUAUAGGAAGGUACACCAGUGGCGAAGGCGACCACCUGGGACUGAUACUGAUUCUGAGCUGCGAAAAGCGUGGGUAGUAAACAGGAUUAGAUACCCCUGGUAGUUCCACGCCGUAAC
rnacentral:rRNA from 1 species